rnacentral:rRNA from 1 species
UACGUAGGGUGCAGGCGUUAAUCGGAAUUACUGGGCGUAAAGGGCUCGUAGGCGGCCAACUAAGUCAGACGUGAAAUCCCUCGGCUUAACCGGGGAACUGCGUCUGAUACUGGAUGGCUUGAGUGUGGGAGAGGGAUGCGGAAUUCCAGGUGUAGCGGUGAAAUGCGUAGAUAUCUGGAGGAACACCGGUGGCGAAGGCGGCAUCCUGGACCAUUACUGACGCUGAGGAGCGAAAGCCAGGGGAGCAAACGGG